rnacentral:rRNA from 1 species
CAAUAGCGUAUAUUAAAAUUGUUGCGUUUGAAACGCUCGUAGUUGAAUUUCUGCCGUCUAGUGUACUGGUCCGAUUAGUCGUGUACCGUUCGCUGGUGGCAUCCGUUUGUGCAAUUCGUUGUGCAAACCGUUCACUUUGAGGAAAUUAGAGUGUUCAAAGCAGGCAUAGCCUUGAAUACUUCAGCAUGGAAUGAUCGAUAGGACUUCCGUCCUAUCCGUUGGUUCUAGGGGCGUGGAGUAAUGAUAAAUAGGGUCGGUCGGGGCCAUUCCUAUUGAGCAGCCAGAGGUGAAAUUCAAUGAUCUGCUCACGAGGAACAACUGCGAAAGCAUUUGGCAAGGACGACCCCAUUAA